ACCUCGACUCAGACGGGGAGACAGGUCCGGCCCGCAGCGCCCGCUCGUCCCCCGCUCCCCGCUCCCUCUCUCCAGCUCCCCGCCCCCUCUCUCCAGCUCCCCGCCCCCUCUCUCCAGCUCGGCGGCACCAUGGUGGCUGCCCUCCGUCCGUGUGCGCUGCUGGCGGCACUGGCCGUCAGCGGCGCGCUGGCCGCCUUCGACCCGUACGUGGCGGGCCCGUACACGGCCGGCCACCUGCUCAUCGGCGCCGCCUCGCAGACCGGGCUGCCGACCGACGUCAGUGUCUACGUGCCGGACGGCGCGGCCGGCAACUUCCCCGUCAUCAUAUUCCUCACAGAGUUCCAGGACACGGUGCCGGCCGAGAUCCAGGAGGUGAUGCUGCAGCGGGUGGCCUCUCACGGGUUCCUGGUGAUCACGCCCUGGUCGCUGACCGAGUCCGGCGGGCCCACCGAGCGAGCCAUCAAGCUAGUAGAUGUCAUGGCCUGGAUCCACAGCACGCUGCCCGACUACAUCACCCAGAACGGCUUCCCGGGCGCGGUGCCCGACUUCGAGCGCACCACGCUGCUGGCCCACUCGGCUGGCUCGCACGUAGCCGUCAGCUACCUGGAGGGCUUCUGCGAGCAGGAGACCAGCGUCAAAAGCCUCAUCCUGAUGAGCCCCGUGGACGGCUUCGAUCCGUUCGGCAUCGUGGACGAGUUCUGCAUCGUGCCUGGUCAGCGAGUCAACUUCACACUGCCGGCGCUAGUGCUCACCGCCGGACUGGACGCCGAAAAAGGCUCGCUGCUGUACCCGGCCUGCGCUCCUGCCGACCUGAGUAACGACCGCUUCUACAACGCCUUCUACGCCCCGCGCUGGCAGAUCAACGCCACCCAGUACGGGCACGGCGACUUUCUGGACGACGAGUUCUGGGCGCUCAUCAAGGACACCAAAUUCUGCGCCUUCUGUUCGGAGGAGGACUGCGCUAACCGCGCCGGCUACCGCGACUACCAGGCCGGCCAGAUCGUCUCCUUCGCGAUGGCCUCGACGGACCCGGCCGGCCACUGCGACCAGCUGCAGUACAUCGAAGACCCGGCGCUGAUGCCCGUGGCCACCGUUAUCAGAAACAACCGGCCCGCCGACGUGUGCAGCCGGUUCAUGGCCGGCUGCGCCCGGCCCUAGGCGGACUGACCAGCGGCCGCGCCCGGCCCUAGGCGGACUGACCAGUGCAGAGGCCGAGGGCGGCCCUAGGCGGACUGUCCAGUUCUGCGCCCGGCCCUAGGCGGACUGUCCAGUUCUGCGCCCGGCCCUAGGCGGACUGUCCAGUUCUGCGCCCGGCCCUAGGCGGACUGUCCAGUGCAGAGGCCGAGGGCGGCCCUAGGCGGACUGUCCAGUGCAGAGGCCGAGGGCGGCCCUAGGCGGACUGUCCAGUUCUGCGCCCGGCCCUAGGCGGACUGUCCAGUGCAGAGGCCGAGGGCGGCCCUAGGCGGACUGACCAGUGCAGAGGCCGAGGGCGGCCCUAGGCGGACUGUCCAGUUCUGCGCCCGGCCCUAGGCGGACUGUCCAGUGCAGAG
rnacentral:misc_RNA from 1 species